GAUGAACGCUGGCGGCGUGCCUAAUACAUGCAAGUCGAGCGAACAGACGAGGAGCUUGCUCCUUCGACGUUAGCGGCGGACGGGUGAGUAACACGUAGGUAACCUACCUAUAAGACUGGGAUAACUUCGGGAAACCGGAGCUAAUACCGGAUAAUAUUUCGAACCGCAUGGUUCGAUAGUGAAAGAUGGCUUUGCUAUCACUUAUAGAUGGACCUGCGCGGUAUUAGCUAGUUGGUAAGGUAACGGCUUACCAAGGCAACGAUACGUAGCCGACCUGAUAGGGUGAUCGGCCACACGGGAGCUGAGACACGGUCCAGACUCCUACGGGAGGAAGCAGUAGGGAAUCUUCCGCAAUGGGCGAAAGACUGACGGAGCAACGCCGCGUGAGUGAUGAAGGUCUUCGGAUCGUAAAACUCUGUUAUUAGGGAAGAACAAACGUGUAAGUAACUGUGCACGUCUUGACGGUACCUAAUCAGAAAGCCACGGCUAACUACGUG
rnacentral:rRNA from 1 species